UACAGAGGGUGCAAACGUUGUUCGGAAUUACUGGGCAUAAAGAGCACGUAGGCGGCUCAUUAAGUCACGCGUGAAAUCCCCCGGCUCAACCGGGGAACUGCGCCUGAUACUGGUGGGCUAGAGGACGGUAGGGGUGAGUGGAACUCUAGGUGGAGCGGUGAAAUGCGUAGAUAUCUAGAGGAACACCGGUGGCGAAAGCGGCUCACUGGACCGUAACUGACGCUGAGGUGCGAAAGCUAGGGUAGCAAACGGG
rnacentral:rRNA from 1 species